rnacentral:tRNA from 1 species
GCGCUCAUGGUGUGGAAAAGGUGACCGCCUAACAAGCGGGGGGUCGUUGGUUCGAACCCAACCGUGCCCAC